GGAGAAUUACUCAAGAGGCUGAAGAGGACGGUUUGCUAAAUCGUUAGGUCGGGAAACCGGCGCGGGGGUUCGAAUCCCCCAUUCUCC
rnacentral:tRNA from 1 species